rnacentral:rRNA from 1 species
AUUGAACGCUGGCGGCAGGCCUAACACAUGCAAGUCGAACGAGUGGCGGACGGGGGAGAAAUGUCUGGGAAACUGCCUGAUGGAGGGGGAUAACUACUGGAAACGGUAGAUAAUACCGCAUACCAUUAGAUGUGCACAGAUGGGAGAGCUUGUUGUUGGGGUAACGUCUCACCAAGGCGACGAUCCCUAGCUGGUCUGAGAGGGUGACCAGACACACUGUAACUGAGACACGGUCCAGACUCCUACGGUGGGCAGCAGUGGGGAAUAUUGCACAAUGGGCGCAAGCCUGAUGCAGCCAUGCCGCGUGUAUGAAGAAGGCCUUCGGGUUGUAAAGUACUUUCAGCGGGGAGGCGUUACCCGCAGAAGAAGCACCGGCUAACUCCGUGCCAGCAGCCGCGGUAAUAC